GGGUUGUGCUCCGGCGCGGAUGAAUCUAAUGUUUUGAGGUGAACGUGUAGCCGUCAGUCACCGCACCGGUGGGAACCCUACACUUACUAAUUACAGAUUCUAAAGUUUUGGAAUAUAUGACCCAGAUAAGAAUUUUGGCCGGAUAUUGUCAUCUGAACAAGUUUGCGUGUGUCUGAGAGACAGCGGUUUGGGGCCCGUUACAUAAUACGACGUACUUCACAAUGAUUGCACAUCCCAUAAAUAGAUCAGAUCACCUCAUAUAACCUGUCUUCACGACAACGCAUGAAGGUACUGACGAGCCAGACACACAGAGUCAAUGGUUCCCUGCACAUAGACGGUGGAUUUCUUCUGUGGGCAGUUGGGGUCUGGGAAGUGGACCUGUGCUCCUGUACGCUGCAUGAUGUGCUUGAUGUUGCUGCCG